rnacentral:rRNA from 1 species
GACACGGACCAGACUCCUACGGGAGGCAGCAGUGAGGAAUAUUGGUCAAUGGGCGGAAGCCUGAACCAGCCAAGUCGCGUGAGGGAAGACGGUCCUAUGGAUUGUAAACCUCUUUUGCAGGGGAGCAAGGCGCGGUACGUGUACCGCGAAGGAGAGUACCCUGAGAAAAAGCAUCGGCUAACUCCGUGCCAGCAGCCGCGGUAAUACGGAGGAUGCGAGCGUUAUCCGGAUUUAUUGGGUUUAAAGGGUGCGCAGGCGGACUGUUAAGUCAGCGGUAAAAUGUCGGUGCUCAACACCGGCCGGCCGUUGAAACUGGCAGCCUUGAGUGAGCGAGAAGUAUGCGGAAUGCGUGGUGUAGCGGUGAAAUGCAUAGAUAUCACGCAGAACUCCGAUUGCGAAGGCAGCAUACCGGCGCUCAACUGACGCUCAGGCACGAAAGCGUGGGUAUCGAACAGGCUUAGAUACCCUGGUAGUCCACGCAGUAAACGAUGAAUGCUCACUGUCCGGGCCGUUUAAGGCCUGG